CUUCUUUCUGGGGACUCCUAGCUCUUUCUCUCAUUUUUUCUCUCUAGGUAUUCCUUGAAAGACCUUUUGACCUUUACUUGAUCCUCGUGCACCUUUUGGAUGAGAGGGGCGUGAGGACAUGAGUGAGGUCAUCCCUCUACAAAAAAUAGCUGUUGUGCUGACCAUAGUGUUGGAUUUAUCUAUCAAAUUAACAAGGCCUUCCAAACAUCACAUGGCUAGUGUACAUAGGAACAACAUCACAAUAUACCUCAUUU
rnacentral:lncRNA from 1 species